rnacentral:lncRNA from 1 species
UUUGUAGGUUGGAAUAGAGUGCUAGCAGUAGCAGUAAUUAGAAAAAAUAAAGAGAUUGUACCCAUUUUACAGAUGAGUAAAUGGACGUUUAGAAAUUUUAAUCAAUAAGUUUCCAAGUGGUGAACUGGUAUUCAAAUCUAGAUAUAAUUUCACAGAUCAACUUCAGCAAUGUGGAUUUUCACAUAUUUAAAAUUAAUAAAUUCCAAAUAGAUGAUAUUUUAUUGUACUUUUAGUGAAUUGGGUUAAAUUAAAAGUGGUUGGCCAUGGUCCUGCUUUGUAGACAUUUUCUCUGAACAUAGUUCCUCUUCAUGGUCUCCAUGUAGAAAACAUUUAAAAUCCAGUAAAUUGAAUAAAAUUUAAAUUACAUCAUCAUUGUUUAUAUCAUUUCUAUGGAAAAAUGAAGGAAUGACUGCAGACAUAAAACCCAUAAACUGCAUACAAACAUUCAGCAUAAUCAUGAUGAACAAGGUUUAACAGUUAAUCUAAGAACUGCUGUCGUCAGUUUGGGGAAUUGAUAAGUGAUCAAUAAUAUAUUAGAAACUUUUUUUUCCAGGUUCAAUAACAAGAGUAUUGACAGUCAUUUUGGGAGGAAUUUGGAAGCGAAUCUAAGAGGUCCAUACUUUCCAUUGAAAAGUGGACAUUAGUAGAACUAUUCAUUAUGAUACUUUAGGCAUUCUGGAGCAUCUCCUGUGAUUAGCUCUUUCUUCCUUUGGGCAAGGGGUGGGACGGAGACUCUUUUCUUCUAUUCUUGGUACAGUGCUUACAAAAUGUUUAUUGGAGAAGAAAUUGAUUCCUUUAUCAUCAAGUUCACGAACUCUUUAUUUUAUUCACCAUGUUUACCUUCUUUGUGAGCUCUCUGAGUUACUUACAUGGUGGUUUACUUGUGUCUCUAAAACCUCGCUGUUCCUUGAUUUAUAGGUUACAUUGUACCUUUUCUCUUCCACAUGAUGGAGAUCUUCAAAGUUCCUUGGAGUCUCAGAAAAACCCAGUGAAUCCAGUCUCAAGUGAACCCAGUGAUGGUGAUUCAUGGUUCCUGAUUCUUUUCUAAACUGCUUUCUCAAUUCUCUUUGUUCAUAAUCUUUCCCAGGCAGGAAACUCAAAAGAGAGGUCAGAGAAGGACAAGAAUCCUCAUGCUAUUUGGCAUCUUAUUGUAAGACGUGGUGGAAUAUGUUCAGCAAGUAAAUUUGGCAGAAUUGAAGAGUAAAGGAUUGGCAUAUCAAAAUGCAUAUACAAAAAAAUUAAUCAAAGCAAACAACUUCAUUCAUAGUGUUACAGUAAACAAGUUUUAGUAUGGAAUUUUAAAAGUCUUAGAUUCAGGUUGUGGCUUCACUAUUUCCAGGAGCAUGACUAGUUUGAUUUAUGUACCCACUCUGAGCUUUAGUUUUCUUAUCCGUAAUAUAGAAACAAUAUCUGCUGUACUUUUCUUUUUUUAUUAUUAUACUUUAA